rnacentral:snoRNA from 1 species
CCUGCUACUGCAUCUGACCAGUUCUUUGUUGCAGUCAAGUGGUGAGCUGAUACUAAACCCCAGCUUAGAAAGCAGGCUUGUUGUUCAUGCUGACGACUGUGCCAGAAACAUGGGACAGCC